CAUGGACUGUAUAUUACAUGGGGUCACAAAGAGUCGGACAUGUCUGAGCAACUUUCCCUUUCACUUUGAAAGUCUCUGGUGGUUCAGACAGUAAAGAAUCUGCCUGCACUGCAGGAGACUGAGUUCAGUCCCUGGGUUGAGAAGGUCCCCUGGCGAAGGGAAUGGCAACCCACUUCAGUAUUCUUGCGUGCAGAAUUCCACAGACAGAAUAGCCUGGUGGGCUAUAGUCCUUAGGGUCACAAAGAGUCGGACAGGACUUAGCAUUCAUGCAUAUGUAAUAUCUAACAACUGAAAUAUCAACACACAAAAAAUCAGUCAAUUGUAUACUUAGUUUGAUUCUUUUCCAUUUUAUUCUUUCCACUUUCUAACUUAAACUUAUUGUACACACCUAUUAUUAUUUUGAUCUCACAUAUAUGCUAAUAUGAAUUAUUUAGGAAGGUAGGAAUCCAACAAUCAUGUACAAGAAGGUCUUCAGAAUCACAGGUUAUGGGUUUCUUGCUAAAGGAAAACCCCACAGACCAUGAGAUAAGAAUGACCUGAAGUUACUGUGACAACUGAUGGCUUAGCCUUUGGACUGUUUCCAUUUUAACCAAGAAAGAAAGUGUUUUUCUUUCUCUCCUCCCCACUUCCCCAGGGGGAUUUUCUAAGGAUUGGUGCAUUUAUUUUCAUAAAAGGAAAAACUGGCUCUAAGCUUGCAGUAAAGACGCCUAAACAAAUGGUUAGCUCACCAUACUCUCUUUUACAAAGUGUUUUUGAACCUAAGCAGCAAUUGUCUAUCAGGAAUUCUCCUUUCUAGGAAGUUUAGAAACAGCACAGAAUUCAUGAAAAUCCUGUUGGUUUUCUUUGAGAGUCACUCAGACUUCAAGUAUCAACAUGCGGCAGAUAUUGCUGGAGAGCCUACGAUGCGUUUGGCACCUGGACGCGGAGCUACAGCUUUCAGACAAGACUGGGGACGUUCAGGAUGGUAUGGCCGUAGACAAGCUGCCACUUUCGGAAAGAAUCAAAUUGCUCCACUUCCUUCAUCAUAUUUUUCUCAAGUAUAGCACUGCAUAUGGAGAAGGCUGGGCGGAAUGCAGAAAGCCAGGCAGAUUUUCCUCGUGUUGAAAGGGAACCUCUGGUCAAAAGUCAGCAGCCGCGCUGCAGAAAGCUUUGAUAGUCAGUGAAGUGGAUCACGGCAUGCGCGGAUGGAGCCUCUCGCUGCGCGGACGGACCUCCCUCCAAGAGCGACCCCUGGUCAUCAGUCAUCGGGGCCCCCAACGCCUUCUGCGCAGCCGAUGGUUUCACCAGCUCCACGGGGCCUGGGUCCCAAGCUGCCCUUUUCCACAGGUAUUGCUAAAGCAAAUAGCAGACGGUAUUUACUGGGUGUGAUGCUUUCAAUCACAUUAAUCUAGCCAGUAAAAAAAUUUAUGACCAAUAAAAAUUCCACCAUGACAUGGCUGAUUGGAGGA
rnacentral:lncRNA from 1 species